UGUGGUGGAGAGCGUGAAACUCAAGCCAUUGUGCAAGCGCAUCAGUCUUCUCGAUUUCAUAACAACACCAUUGUAAUUUUAUGAGGCGAGGAAACGACCUUUCCGGCUGAUUUUUUUUUUAAACUGUUCCUUAUAAAAUACCGUUGCGGGAGACAGUUACACAUUUUGCAAUUUCGCUUUUGAAACUUGCUAAAAAUACGUUCAAAGACAAGAAAUUUUUUUUUUUUCAAUUUUUUCCAAAAAACGCUUGAUGAGACGAUAGAUUUACUUCUCCUGAUUACGAAAUUCAUAAUUAUUAUAUGUUUUUUUCAUUAUUGUGCCUGAAAAACGGGAAAAACUAUCUAGUAGUUCACCUACUUUCCGUUGGUGGCGCCGGUUUGUCUCCUGCGCACCCUUAAUAGGAUUGUUUAGUUAUUCGGGUAUAGUUAUAUUUUAUAGGUUAGGGUAUGGAUGGUGUCGCGGUUUCCUUGCUUGAUCGUUACACGUUUCAUGUUUUAUGUGUUUCGAUUGUUUUUUCGUCUGUCACCGUGAGAUGUCGUUUUCGAUACAUUUCUUCGUUCGUUCUAUAGGGUUUGACGUUCUAGGUUGGAUUGAAUCGACUAGGAUUGAGAUUAUUUAUCUGUUCGGUUUGUCGUGUCGAAAGGAGGAAGAUUUUGGUGGGUAGGAGUGCGAUGGGUUCUUCAUGCCACUAUAGCUUGUGUGCAUUUCUUCAUGAGAGGAUUCUCUGAAGGCUUGCUGUAGCGAGAGCAGAUAGAAUUUUUAUUUGCAUUGGGUACAGGGAGCUAAUUAGUUUCCUACGAUCUAGCACGCAGAGCAUAUUGGAAAGAUACUACGAAGGUUUGUUGUACAGGGAGCAGAGAGGAUUUUUGUUUGCAUGAGUGCGAAGGAUUAUUUAGGUUACUGGAGACUUGUACGCUGUACAUUCUGAGAAGAUACUCUACAGGUUUGCUGUGCACAGACCGGAAAGGACCUCUAUUCACAGGGGUACGAAGAGCUAGCUAGAUUUCCAAGAUUUUAUGUACGGUACAGUUUGAGAGGAUACACUAAAGAUUUGCUGUACAGGGUGUGGAGAGGAUUUAUUCGCAUGGAUAUGGAGAGCUGCUUAGGUUUUAUCAGUCUUGUAUGCAGUACAUUUCGAGUAGAUAUUCUAGUGGUAAGGCCCUAGUCGAUUAAGAUGGUCAAAACUGCCCUUAGAGCUUUUUCAAUGGCUCUUGAAUCAUUCGAAAGCUGACCAAGAAAAACCCCUCUGAGUAAAAUUUUAACCCUCUAGCUUGCCCGUGAGGGUAGUUACAGGGUAAAAUAGAUUUUACGCUUUUCGGCGCAUUUUCCGGUCUCAAAUGCAUUCUAAAAUUCUGAAAAAAAUCUGACACAUUUCGGAUCCUAAGGCGCAUUUUUGAGAAUAUUUUCAAAAGUUUUUGUUGCAAACUGUGGCCGUAAAAAAUGAAAAAAAUCGGAAAAACAUUUUUUUCUCAAAAAUAUGAAAACAUGCUAUUCUACUGUUUGGUUCCCUGAUAAUGUACAAUAGCAGGCAGUGUCGUCAAUUUUUUUUAAAUUUUUUGUUCGGCUGCUUCAUUGUCAAAAACAAUAAAUCUGAAUUUUUUCGAUGUUUUUGCUGCAAGGAAGAAAGUUAUACUUCUUGGCUUUGUCGUGGGCAUAUAUUAAGUAAUUUUUAGCGUUAUUACACUGAAACAAGCAAUUAUGUUACCUAAAAAAUGUGAUUUAAAAGAAAGAAAAAAUUAUAUUCUGUUGGAUAUAUACAGGAAUGUUCGCAUCGCUAACAAUAUCGCCGAUUGGCGUGGCGGUUAAGGCGUCAGACUAGAGAGCGGAUACUCUGGGGUUCGAAUCCUAUCGGUAGCAUUUUUUUUUUCUAUACGUCAAACUUCAUUUUUUUUUGCGUGACCUGCUAAUUACAGAAUUAUUUAUUUAUCAUAAAAGUAAAUAUUUGUAUGUAGUUGAUAGAAAUGGACUUAUCUUUUGUAAUUGUGGGCAGAAUGCUGCAGGAAUGCCGACCUCCUUCUUGAAUAUCAUUUUUGCCUGUAGCUUUCGGUUUUACCUAUCCUAGUAAUUGCAGAAUUAUUUAUAUUUUGCUCUAAAUGUAUACAUAUAUGAAGACUAGUUUAAAAAUACUUAUCGUUGUAUUCGUUGAUGGGUUAAGCCGAAAAUAAUGCGUUCCGGUUUUUAAUCUUCAUCACGGUCCUCAUUAAUUAUAGGCGUAACUUCAUUUUGAUUAAAAAUGGUGCUAAGUAUUUCAGAUGGCCGUAUAAUAGUAUGGAGUUAUCGAGCAUGGGAUAAAUAAUAAAUAAUAGCUGCUAUUCAUAUAGGUACAUGCAUUAUGCUGGAGUUUUCUAAUACUGUUUAUGUUCCAAAACUAUUUUUGUGUGUAUUUUACGUAAAAAUGUGACUUAAAUAUUUUUAAAACUCUAAAUAAAUAUUGUUAAACUUAUGUGAAUAAACCAUAUACAUAAUAAGAAAUAGAAAAAA